UUAUAUUAUUAUUAAUCUUGUACGAGUUGAGUACUCAUAUCGGACUCUAAUCGGACUGCAGACAAAUUCCAUUUGCUGAAAUUCUUAAUUUGGUCAUCCAUCAGCGCUUUAAGCGGCGAUAUAAUUAUAGAAACCGACCUCUCAGCUGAGCUUUGUUUUAACAUUGUUGGCAUGGCCAUACAUAAUGUUUUUCCGAAUCCCGUCGGCAGGAAACAAAGGACGUUGUGACCUUCCAAGACUGAUGACACACACUGUAACUGUUCUUCUUUUGCUUCAAAACUUAUGUCAAAAUUAGACUUGAUUUCUUCGAAUUUACUUCUCAAGGCCUCCAUGUUGGUAAAAAUCACGUGCUGGUUGCAGGGACUGUAAAUCUACAUCCGGGUACAUCUAAUUAAGAUGGAGUCGAGCUGCGCAAAUUGCCAUGAACCAUUUAGAAAGAAGAAAAAUGAUAAAGGCUAUUUGAGAUAUUCUCUGGAAAACAAAAUUCCAAAUUCGGAAUUAUGUGCACGGGAAGCACUAUCGCAAACAUCGUGUAUCUCGGUGAUGACCCCAAUUAGUAAAAAAAGGCAGGGCAGAUUUUUAUGCCCUGUCUGCUAGGGUAAACUUGUGGAGAGUCAGAGAUACCAGAAAUCAUUAAAUGAAUUCUGGGGGCGGAAUGUUGGAGAUACCUACAUUGGUAAAAAGAUUACUUCUACAAGUAUUUCCGAUAAAAAUUCAUCAUUCCCCCCAUCAGAUAAGCCUAUUGUUUUGCCUUCUACAAGCACUCCGAAGGUUAGUAAACGGAGAAGCUUGUCCAAAUCAGCAAGAACACCCAAUAAACGGGAUCCAAUUAUUUGCAAUGUGAAAAAUAAAAAGUAUUCUGCGGCCAUUAGGGGAAUGUAUAAUGCUACAGCGGGAACAAGACGCCAUUUUCAGAAUGUUGUGGCUAAUUUGGUGCGCAAAGAAAUUUCCGCUCUAUCAAAAGUAAAGGAUUUUCCUCUAUGUCAGGAGGCCAGUGUAGCCAAUAUUUCAAACUUUUCUUGGAAUGAAACGUUACAAGCAUUUGAAAAAACCGCGCCUCUGACAUACAAUGUCCUUCGUAGCAUUGUUGCUACGAAAAAAAGAAGAGAAUACUUUGAUACGAGGGAAAGGUAUUAAUUUGAAGCCCCCAGUUGGAUGUGCCCUAUCAAAUCUACUUCAUGCAAAAGCACCACGGAAAUAUAGCUUCAUACCGACAAUUUUCUCAAUUCAGCUUUGGAGGGGGGGAUUAAAAAGAGAAACAUUAAAACAAUUGUGUCACACUAAAAUUUGCCUUGGUUAUAAGUUAUAAAGGAACUGUUUCCGCGAUAGAUCGAGUUCGAAUGGAUUUCGAUAGAGGGGCAAGUCGCGCGAGAGAGGAAUUGCAAAAGCAGUUAUCAGAACCUAUUACGGAUCACCGUCCUCUAAAUGAUGAUGAACUAGAACUUUUGUUCGCGUUAUCGGAAAUAAUGCCAAACAUGGAAGAUGA